UACGUAGGGUGCAAGCGUUGUCCGGAAUUAUUGGGCGUAAAGAGCUCGUAGGCGGUGUGUCGCGUCGGCCGUGAAAACCUGCAGCUUAACUGUGGGCUUGCGGUCGAUACGGGCAUCACUGGAGUUCGGCAGGGGAGACUGGAAUUCCUGGUGUAGCGGUGAAAUGCGCAGAUAUCGAGAGGAACACCUGCGGCGAAGGCGGGUUGCUGGGCUGACACUGACGCUGAUGCGCGAAAGCUAGGGGAGCGAACGGG
rnacentral:rRNA from 1 species